UACGUAGGGGGCAAGCGUUGUCCGGAAUCAUUGGGCGUAAAGAGCGUGUAGGCGGUCCGGUAAGUCGGCUGUGAAAGUCCAGGGCUCAACCCUGGGAUGCCGGUCGAUACUGCCGGACUAGAGUUCAGAAGAGGCGAGUGGAAUUCCCGGUGUAGCGGUGAAAUGCGCAGAUAUCGGGAGGAACACCUAUGGCGAAGGCAGCUCGCUGGGACGUUACUGACGCUGAGACGCGAAAGCGUGGGGAGCAAACAGG
rnacentral:rRNA from 1 species